rnacentral:rRNA from 1 species
AUUGAACGCUGGCGGCAGGCCUAACACAUGCAAGUCGAACGAGUGGCGGACGGGUGAGUAAUGUCUGGGAAACUGCCUGAUGGAGGGGGAUAACUACUGGAAACGGUAGCUAAUACCGCAUACCAUCGGAUGUGCCCAGAUGGGAUUAGCUAGUAGGUGGGGUAAAGGCUCACCUAGGCGACGAUCCCUAGCUGGUCUGAGAGGAUGACCAGCCACACUGGAACGUAGACACGGGCCAGAAUCCUACGGAAGGAAUCAGUGGGGAAGAUUGCACAAGGGGCGCAAGCCUGAUGCAGCCAUGCCGCGUGGAUGAAGAAGGCUUUCGGGUUGUAAAGUACUUUCAGCGGGGAGGCGUUACCCGCAGAAGAAGCACCGGCUAACUCCGUGCCAGCAGCCGCGGUAAUAC